GGAGUUAGGACCGUGUCUCAGUUCCUAUGUGGGGGACCUUCCUCUCAGAACCCCUACUGAUCGUCGCCUUGGUGGGCCGUUACCCCGCCAACAAGCUAAUCAGACGCAUCCCCAUCCAUGUCCGAUGAAUCUUUGGUUGACUCACGAUGCCGGAAAUCAACCGAAUCAGGUAUUAAUCCUCCUUUCAGAGGGCUAUCCCUGAGACAUGGGCAGGUUGGAUACGUGUUACUCACCCGUGCGCCGGUCGCCAUCAAUCGAAGCAAGCUUCGAUCAUGCUGCCCCUCGACUUGCAUGUGUUAAGCCUGUAGCUAGCGUUCAUC
rnacentral:rRNA from 1 species